UCCCUUGAAUAAUCGUUAA
rnacentral:misc_RNA from 1 species